ensembl:lncRNA membrane-spanning 4-domains subfamily A member 4A-like
GACUCACAUCAGUGCAAUAUUUUAGACUUUUUGUGGGGUUUUUUUUAAAGGAAGCAGUAAAAGAACAUUUCAUACCUUCAUUGCAACAUAGAAACCUUUGCCUGCUAACCUCGCUGUGAAAAAAGAACAGAGAUACUACCAGUGGGCCAAUGCUGAUGUUGAAAGUUUUCUCAUCCUCCAGGCAGUGAGGGAAUGAUUGGGACAUUUCCUGGCAAUGUAAUAAAGUCAGCCUCUUAAGCUUUCUGGCCAAGAGGUAAGAAAGCCCCAGAGAAAGAGAUCACUGAAGAGAGACCACCAUACCCUUAGGCCACAUCUUUUUCGCUGAAUCUGCCAACGGUGAGUAGCAGUGGGACUGGAUAGAAAUGUAUGAGUCAGCAUGAGGAAAAACAACAGAGUGUGGAGUUGCCUCAGGCAGUAGAUUUCGGACAUCAAGAAUUAGUUGUACUAAGUGUUAAUUCUUUGACUUGUUAUCAUAUUUUACUGCUGGUAUGGAGAGAUUAAGUACCUGUGGGAUUUUCUGCUGUAUGUGUCCACUUAACUAGGUAGGCUAGCCUUUGGUAUUACAGACGGUGAAUGCGGUAGGAGAGACGCCACUUGCAGCUCCAUCUUAGGGACCAACGUAUUUUGGGCCUGCCCUGAAGAAGGUAUGAACAUGAAGAUGGGGAAAGGACAGGCAUCAUCUCUCAUGAUUAACAAAUCAUUAUAUAUGUAUGGAAUUAUCUUGUAUUUUUUGGACUUAGGGGACAGCCGCCUUCAUUCUGGACCCUCUCAGAGCUUUGCUCAGUACCAAGACACUUUGAAGUAUGUCAGAGGCUGGAAUGCUACUGCAGAAAUUCCUCCGGGGACAUCCCAUAGUUUUUGGGGCUCUUUUGAUGCUGAUUGGGCUGUUCCAGGUGGCCUUUGGAAUCGUCUUGUUCUUCUUCCCUUGUGUCUACAGGGAUGAACUGGGCACCCAUUUCUAUUCAGCCGCACUGCUGAUCCUGGCAGGCAUCCUCACCCUUGCAGCAGAUAAAGCCAACAGCUUAUGUCUGGUGAAAGCCUGCCUUGUCAUAUAUAUUGUCUGCGUAAUCGUGGUGGCAGUGAUCAACAUUUUCUACCUGAUAGAUUUACUGUAUGACCCCGUUAACAGGAAUAUCAGAUGUUCUAGAACAGAUCCUUUUUGUGAAAUGCUGCAUCAGAUUGCGGUUUGUUGUGCAGGCGUACGUGGCAUUGUCCUAGUUUUAACUUCUCUCGGAUUCUUUAUUGGUGUCUCUAUGGCAGCCUUCGGAUGCAAAGCUGUGUGUCGCCAGAGCUUAGAGGACGAUAAUGUGCCCAUUGCUGGAUCAAGGCAUUUUCCCAGUUCAACUGAAGUAGUCAGAGAGAUUCAGUCCUAAGAAGUUUGCUCGUGGAUCUGAAUCCUAAGCACCUGGAACUGGAAGAACCUCAUAACACAGCUGUCCCGACUCGUCCCUUUCCACCUGCUUCACGAAUACACGGAGGAAUUUUGUGCUUCCCUGUCUUCUGCUAACCUGCUGUUUGCCAAACUCCUGGGCCCAAACAUUACAUGGUCCCCAUGCUGUAUUUUUAACAUUAACCCGCCUUUCUGAAAUGUAAGCUUUGAAAGGCAGGUGAGUGCAUUAAACUACGACAGUGCACUUGCAGCUCACAGAAACCCUAGAAUUGCUUUACGAUGGCCAUGUGUAAAGUCAAAUGUAAUUUCCCUUCUUUGCUUUUAAAGAACUAUCUUACAACCGCAAACACUGCAUGUAGCACAUGAGGCUUUUUUUUGUUUGUUUUCAGGGGGCUUGUGUGUGUGUGGGUCUCCUCAUUUUAUUUCCUGUCCUAACAUGCUUUGAUGUAGCCAGAGGUCUUUUGCAGAAAGCACAAUACUAACCUAUUUAAAAUGCUGUCCUAUGCAGUUUUACUCAGAGGUGAACAAUAAAUAAAUAAAAUCAAAAGGCUGCUGUUGCCGC